AUUGAACGCUGGCGGCAGGCUUAACACAUGCAAGUCGAGCGGAGCGAGGGUGCUUGCACCUUAGCUUAGCGGCGGACGGGUGAGUAAUGCUUAGGAAUCUGCCUAUUAGUGGGGGACAACAUUCCGAAAGGGAUGCUAAUACCGCAUACGCCCUACGGGGGAAAGCAGGGGAUCUUCGGACCUUGCGCUAAUAGAUGAGCCUAAGUCGGAUUAGCUAGUUGGUGGGGUAAAGGCCUACCAAGGCGACGAUCUGUAGCGGGUCUGAGAGGAUGAUCCGCCACACUGGGACUGAGACACGGCCCAGACUCCUACGGGAGGCAGCAGUGGGGAAUAUUGGACAAUGGGGGGAACCCUGAUCCAGCCAUGCCGCGUGUGUGAAGAAGGC
rnacentral:rRNA from 1 species